CCUACGGGAGGCUGCAGUGAGGAAUAUUGGUCAAUGGACGAGAGUCUGAACCAGCCAAGUAGCGUGAAGGAUGACUGCCCUAUGGGUUGUAAACUUCUUUUAUAUGGGAAUAAAAUGUUCCACGUGUGGGAUUUUGUAUGUACCAUAUGAAUAAGGAUCGGCUAACUCCGUGCCAGCAGCCGCGGUAAUACGGAGGAUCCGAGCGUUAUCCGGAUUUAUUGGGUUUAAAGGGAGCGUAGGUGGAUUGUUAAGUCAAUUGUGAAAGUUUGCGGCUCAACCGUAAAAUUGCAGUUGAAACUGGCAGUCUUGAGUACAGUAGAGGUGGGCGGAAUUCGUGGUGUAGCGGUGAAAUGCUUAGAUAUCACGAAGAACUCCGAUUGCGAAGGCAGUUCACUGGACUGCAACUGACACUGAGGCUCGAAAGUGUGGGUAUCAAACAGGAUUAGAUACCCUUGUAGUC
rnacentral:rRNA from 1 species